rnacentral:tRNA from 1 species
GGGCUCAUAGUAAAGUGGUAUUACACCGCAUUCGCAUUGCGGAGGCCCGGGUUCGAUUCCCGGUGAGUCCA